UACUUACCACCACUCUUUGGACAAGUAGACGCCACACUGCAUAUUGCCUUUCAUUCCUGGACAUUUCUGGACAUUUGUUGACUUGGACUAUUCGCUGGAAAGAGCAUUUGCCUGGUUGCACAACUCUGAUGUCAAGAACAGCAAUUGUGACGUGGGGCAGCGGCAGUCAUGAUCAGAGGACAAGCACCAUUGAAGACCUAACGACCCGUGAGCCAAUCACACGGCUGCAGAGCUCUUUCUACUUCAGCAAUCCCGCAGAGGACACCGGCCGGCUUGACGCUUUCAUUCUUUGAGCCAACAUGUCUAAUUAACAGAGAAAAACAGAGGCAGCCUUGUUUACUCCCAUAAAUAAUGAAUUUCACCUUACACAACGAGACACUUACGUAAGAUAAAGUGUGUGUGUGACGCCCGUCAUGUUUCCCUUCACGCCGCCAUGUUGUAUUAUGUAACCCAAUGAGGACAAUUGGGUUUGUUGCUUUAUUUGUCCCCGCUUGCUCGCUCCAAUGUCAUUAUGCAAAGUUUGGUGCUCAAAGGAAGCAAGGCGGACACAAAAGAAAUCAGGCAUGUAGUUUUAGUUUAAAUAUAUAAACAUGAUGCUGUAAAGACUUAACGUUGAGUGUGUGCCCUAAAAAGGGAAACUGUCGAACUGGUGUGGACGAAUGCAGUUUGUGCUAAAGAAAUUAACUUCACUGUAAUCUUACCAAAAAAAAAAAAAAAACGAAUUAACUGUUGAAAAAAAACCCGAAUUAACUGUUGAGGCAAUCACAGCUCAUUUCGUGACAUAGAUGCAUGUAUACCGUUUAGCUGAAAAGUGAUGCCUUGAGAUAGAGCAGGGUUGGGUUACAUUAAAGUAUUCCGAUACAGUUAAAGUUGCUAAAUGUAGUCAGUAAUGCAAUCUUUUAAGUAUAAGAUUUUCAAGCCAUGUAACUUGAGAAGUCAUCGCUGAACCUAUUCAACUCAUAUCUCAAGGCAAUACUGUGUUUAACUUUUAGAUUAAAUACAUUUGCAUGAAAUCAAACUUUCAAUGCUUAAUAUAAAGCACAACAUUUAACUUUUAUGUGCAAUACAUAUUAAAUAAUUGUUGAAGUUGGUUUUUUAAA